GUGAAUCAUCGAAUUUUUGAACGCAAAUUGCACUCUCCUCGGAGAGUACGCGUGUUUGAGGGUCAGCCUAUAAAAAUAGACAUCGUUGCUGUUUCGCGGUGGCGUGAGGCGGAAAUUGGGUCAUCUUAAAUCAUUUUGAUUUAAGCGACUCAAAAUUUUCUUUUGGUUCCAGGAACGUUUCUAAGAUCUAUAUUUUUACACGUUUAAGGUAUCGAUUUUUAAUAGACGUGACAGUC
rnacentral:misc_RNA from 1 species